AGGCUGAGUAAUGUUUUGCAAAUAUAGAAAAAGAGGUAGGUACACGCUCGACUCCAUUCACCACCAACGCAAAAUGAAGAAAAUGAAAAAGGUUAGUAGUAUAUUGGCCAAACUAAUUAAAAGAAAAAGGUUUGAAAGCCGUUAUCCUUUAAUUAAGCCUUUAAGCCUUAUCAUUAAUCACUCAUUCAACAUGAACUUCGAUGCUUAUCCACUUAUCACCUAA
rnacentral:lncRNA from 1 species